AUGGCGUCGGAGGGCGGAACCAAUGCGGCAGCGACGGCGGCGUCGGCGACGUCGGAGGGGAAGAAUCGGAGUCGGAAGGGGAAGCCUUGGGACGAGGAUGACCCCGGCAGCAGCAACCUCUUGAAGGCGGAGAAGUUCGAGCCCGCCUCGAACGAGGGCGCCCUGCUCGAAACCACCUCCUUCUCCACCACCUUCGCCAAAGACAGAGAGGAGUCUCUGCUGGAGGCGUGGCCGGUCGUCAAGGGCGCGCUGAAGGAGCAUGGGGUCUCGUGCAAGCUCAGUGUGAGUGAGGGAUCCAUGACUGUCUCGACCACCAGGAAGACCAGGGACCCCUACAUUGUUGUCAAGGCCAGGGACCUGACCAGACUCCUGUCGCGGAGUGUCCCUGUACAUCAGGCGAUUAAAAUACUCAACGAUGAUAUGACCUGCGAUAUUAUUAAGAUUGGUGACCUCGUACGGAAUAGGAAAAGGUUUUCUGAACGGAGAGACCGUCUGUUAGGACCUAAUAUGUCUACCCUUAAGGCCCUAGAGAAUUUGACUGGCUGCUACAUCUUAGUUCAGGGAAAUACUGUUGCUGCCAUGGGUUCCCUUGACGGAAGGGGACUAAAACAACUCAGAAAGAUCGCAGAGGAUUGUAUGAAUAACAUAAAGGGUCCACUGGAUCACAUUCAGGAACUCAAAAAAGAACGUGAGCCAGCUAAAACACCUGCCCUGGCUAAUGAAAGCUGGGGCAGGAUUCUACCAAAGUAUGAGAAGGAGAAUAUCAAACUGAAGAAGCCAUACACACCCUUUCCAUCUCCGCAGCAGCCUAGCAAGACUGAUCUUGAACUUGAGAAUGGCAAGUAUUCUCUGAGUGACAAAAAGAAGUCGACAAAGAAACUUCAAGAGAAGCCCGACAAGCAAUCAAAGAAAGUGGAUGGAAACAAAAGAAAGAGAGAAGCUGCAUCUAUUCCCCCAAAGGAGAGCAUUGCAGGUUCAUCUGAAUCUGCCAUGGCCACCAGUGGCGAUAGCAAGGUUGCUGAUAUGGUGGCCAUGCCCUCAAAGAAGAAGGCAAAGAAGGAAUAA
rnacentral:rRNA from 1 species